AGACUCCGAGGACCGCGCAGCCAUUCCUCGCUGAACCUUCUACGACCAGGAAUUCCUCCUCGGGGCAUGAAUCUUGCCCACCCUCGCCUCAUUCGAAAGACCCCCUACAGUGAUCCCUUCUUAUCUCAGCCUCAUGCGUUGAUUGACCCAUCUCUCGCUCCAAGGAAAGCAGCGGGCUGCAUUUCACUCUCGCUCGUGGUCACAGAGGUUGUGAAGUUGAACUGUUUGGUCGAGAGCUGGACUUUUGCAGAUCAAUCUCAGCUUCGCAAUUGAGUCCAGGUUGCGGAGGGGCAUUUUGGCUGCCUCUACAGCCGCCUUGGCAGCUUCUCUGCCAGCGGUCAUCCCACUCGUGAUUGUGUCUGAUUGCCACAUCGCCGAGGAAUAGAGGAAACGGAAUAAGUGGGCGAGAAGAAGCCUCUGGGGCAUCUGCAACAAACGAGUGGCAAGAAUUGUUUGCAAUCGGCUUGGGACCGUAAUCAUCUACAACCGACGUUGAUGUUGCUAAUGAACUAGAACAUUGCGGAGUAGAAGAAACUCCCAGGAGCACGUAAGAGAGGGUUGUAAAGAAGCAAUUAGACUGAACAACGAAACUUUAGAAAAAUCAUUUAACUCCGAAACAACGAAAGCAAGUUGCUCCAGUUGGUCCCAGUGGAGGUUGAAACACGGGAGAUGUGGCUUUAAUAACUUCAUUCCAAAUUACUAGUUUCAAUUCUCAACUAGCACAGCUAGCUGGAAAUAUUCUUCUAGAAAUGUAUUAAUCGAUAUUCUACCCAACCGUCUUGCCUUCUAAAUCAUCCAUGAGCUUCACAUGGAUCUACUGUUUAACAAAAGCGCGCUGCAUACUUUGUACGCAAUAAAAUAAAAACUCUUGGCAACAA